GGCUUUCUCAGGCUGCAGUACAAACAUGCUGUACAUUCAGAGGACAGUGAUGGUCCCAACAAGAAAUCAUAUAGACUUGAGAGAGAACAAAUGGGAUUCUGAGCAGAUAAAGAAACAACAACAGAUUACCCACUGUAAUGAAAAAACUGCAACUAGAUUUGGAAAAGAGUCUGGAUGGGAAGAGGAAGAGCAAGAAAGGGGACAUCAAUGGAAGAAGUGGAUGGCUUAUGUAAGUACUGGGUAGCAUUAGGUGAGGAUGUUAUGGGCUAGUCAAUGGAUUACUGGGAGUACCAUUCCCAUCUCACUCCACACAGUUGUCAUGCUGAUAUCUGCCUUGGGAGUCUUGGGAGAAUGCAAUUAGUUGAUCCCUUUAACCGACAUUAAAC
rnacentral:lncRNA from 1 species